rnacentral:rRNA from 1 species
UACGUAGGAGGCGAGCGUUGUCCGGAGUUCCUGGGCGUAACUGGUGCGCAGGCGGCGGUUCUCGUGGCUAGAUGAAAUCUCCUGGCUUACCUGGGAGAGUGGUAGCCAGACGGGAUCGCUUGAGGGUCGGAGAGGGGCGUGGAAUUCCGGGUGGAGCGGUGAAAUGCGUAGAGAUCCGGAGGAACACCGACGGCGAAGGCAGUGUCCUGGCGAGUGACUGACGCUGAGGUGCGAAAGCUAGGGGAGCGAACGGG